UAAAACUUUCAACAACGGAUCUCUUGGUUCUGGCAUCGAUGAAGAACGCAGCGAAAUGCGAUAAGUAAUGUGAAUUGCAGAAUUCAGUGAAUCAUCGAAUCUUUGAACGCACAUUGCGCCCGGCAGUAAUCUGCCGGGCAUGCCUGUCCGAGCGUCAU
rnacentral:rRNA from 1 species